GUAGGCUGUUGGAAGCCUGAAACAAAAAACACUGUAGUCAGAAGAUUUGAGCUAUCCUUCAAGAUCUUAAGAGAUACUAUACGUGUAUCGGUUUCCUUGAAAUAAAAGCAGAGGUUUUAUUUUGGUAAGAGAAUAGUACUGUGGUGUUUUACUUAUGUUUUUAUUCAGUCACAUAUACCUUCUUUCUUUAGAGUUGUCUAACAUUGUCUUUCUAACUUUCUUUAGAGUUGUAUAACAUUGUUAGUGUUCCAACAUCUGCUGCUUAGGAAAGAGAGUCCUGCUCUUAUACAGUACUGUUGCUGUGGAAAGCUACCGUGCUUGGUUGAGCCACUUUACACAGAGUGGAAGAAAGGAUACAGAAUCUGAUGGAUCUUAGUCUUGUAGCAGCUCAUCCAGAGGCCUAAAAAAAGUUACAAAAAGUUCCAACAGAUAUGGGUGGAUGUAGAACUGAGCUGUACACCAGGUCUCUUGGCAUCCUGAGCCCUUUCAUCUGCCUGGCUUUGCAAUAGCCUGAAGCAAUGUGAAAUCCUUCACUCCUUUGCGCUUCUAGGUGUGUUUUUAGCAGGCCAACUUCGACUAGCUCUGCUGUCAGACUAGGGAUGUUUUUUGUCUUGUCGAUGUUCUUGUUUUUUGUGGGAGGGUAUGUUUGGUUGAUUUAAGAUAGUUCUGCAGUUUUAGUUACCUUUUACUGGUGCGUUUGAUGUUCAAAAGCAGCUG